AGGAGCUUGACGCCUGAUGGUGGAGAUGGGGUGGAGGAGGGUCGAAGCUCAGCUGAAGAGCAGGAGAUUCUGCGUAUGAAGGUCUUUUAAGGUGAAGCCUUGAGGGAUGAUUGGCUGAAGAGGAAUGCGGACUAGAAACUGAUUGGUUGGAACGGAGAACGUAGUGGAGUAGUUAGACAGAGCCGUAGUAGCGGUGAGUCUUCCAAAUUGAAUUUUCGUCUAAGCUUCAUAUCAAUUAAGCGCUUAAGUGUGUGUUACUUUUCUUUUAAUGUAGAUUUAGAUAAGUAGACUAUCAUGAAGAGGCUUAAUUCAGAACUGAAAAGCUGAAUUUUGCACAACGAAAGGACUGGAUUUUGUAACCAUUUUUUCAACUCAAGAGAGAAACAGCACAGAAGAAAAAUCUGAUUUCUGUUGUUUUUGUGAACCUUCAACAUCCCCAGCCAUGUGAGGGAGAACAACAUCCUUUACUGAUAACUCUUUCACUUCUUUUUCCGAAUUGUUUUUUAAGGUUCAAGGCAAUAUUAUUGAAAAUCAAAGCGAUCUUCUGGUCAGAACAUUAAAAAGUAUUCAUUUUUCUUUUUUGGGUGUUAUUUCGAACGUCUUUCAUUUCUUCGGAAGGAAAAAAAAUCUGAGGUAGAAAAAUUAUAUCUGAAGGUUGAGAAAAGUAAAUCAGAUGUAAGAUGGAUUCAAAAAUCAUUUUUUCAGAAAGGUUUUUGUGUGUUGGAAUUUUGUAAUAAUGAACAAAUCCAAACAAAUUCAAAGCUGAAUUCUGGUUAAACAGCCUACAAACGGUUGAAUUUGUUUGGCCAAAGUAAUAUCUGAUCAUUCAUCCUUAACAACACGGGCUAGUGAUGAAAACAUUUUUUAAGCAGUUGUUUAAAUUAGUGAAUAUGGUCCUUUCUGCGUUGCUGUUUCUGAAGCUUCUCUAUUUAGCUUUAUUUGUGGUUUCCUUUUGAACAUACUGAGUAAAACUGACAGUGCUGUCAUCAGAAGGUUGACCUCAACUAGAGAAGAAGACCACAGAGUGGUAACAGACGUACUAAAUUCAUUGUCUCUCUUUGUUAAUUUGUAAAAUAACUCCAUUCGGACCAAAUGCUUUAAAAAACAAACAUUGUCAGCUUUGUUUACUUCAUCUAGAUACUGUACCUAAUGGAUUUAGAUGAAACAUGUCUUAACUUUACAUAUUUUAUUUACCUUUAUUUAACCUUUAAUUUACCAGGAGAAUUCCAUUAAGAUUUAAAAUCUAUUUUGCAGGAGAUGUUCAGAAAGUGAUAGUUUCAUAAAAACAGAAAUAGGCAACAGAAGAAUCUACAUAGUGCAUUAAUUAAAAUCAAAUUGGUUAAAUUUAAAACAUAUCUUUGCCUGAUCAACUGUAUAUCAAUCAUGUAAAACACUUUCAUGUUAAACAAUGCAUGGCUCAUUGAUUAUGUUUGAUUGCAUCUGUUGCUGCCUUUAACUAUGAAAUAAUUUUUUACCAUUUAUAUUGUUUUUCUUGUCAGUAGUGAAGUAGGUAGUAAAUCAGAAUAUCACCAAAGUUUCAUUUCUUUCUGUCUUUUAUUUUAAAGAACAUUUUCCAUUAUUGUGUUUGAAGACUCCUUUUCUCUUCUGCAUUCGUGUAUUUGCAUUUUUUUCCACUUGUUUUGCUUUUACAUAGAAAGUACCCCUGACUCCAUGCUGUGGUGCUGCUUUGUUGUCUCCAUCUUUUUCUGUCUUCUCAGCCCCAAACCAGUCAAGAAACACGGUCCACAUGUAUUCCUGUUUGAAUGUCGUUCCUUCUCACUGUGGGCCAUAUGAUUGUUCACGAUGAAAGUCUGUGAUGAAGAUUUGAUGCAAUGGCUGCCAGGUUCACUGUUCACUGUGGAACAUCAAUGGAAGCUCAGGGCAGCUUCUCCUGAACUGUCUUCUUGAAAUCAGGAUAUGAAUGCUGCUGAAUUUCCUGACUUUAAAUGAGAUCAAGACUGAAGUCAUGCUGUUUAGACUAAAUGGACUUAGCAGGACUUUAUGUAUCAAUCAAAACAAAUUAAUUUGAUUUACAAAGCACUUUUAAAACGACAGUCAGCCAAAACGCUGUAAAUAAAUGUCUCAAAAACAAUUAAAGGGAAAAACAUAAAAACAGAAUUAGAAAUGUUAAUUUAAGCCAAGACAAUGAUUUAUCUUUCUUCUCCAGAAGAAAAACAUCAGACAGUUCCAAGCACUCGGUGGAAACUCAGAAGUGCUGCUGCUCCCAAACUGUGAAAUGCUUUUCCAUUACCAGUCAGGCAGAUACCUUCACCUGCUAAAUUGACAUCUGGGUUAAAAACACAGCUUUACUCUCUGGUCUUUGACCCAGUAUGAAAUGACUAAAUGUUAUUUUACUCUUUGUUCUGCUUGUACUAUUUUCCAUCCAUUGCCUAUACCUGCUUAUCCUUGCAUGGUACCAGGGAAGCUGGUGCUGGUUUUUGUGUGUAGUUUUGUGUCCAGCUCUCUGAUGUUGAUGAAUAAAUUGGUAUGUUGCGUUAAAGGUUUCUCUCUUUAUAAUUGUUGGUGUUUCAGGAUCUAUUGAAUCUGACUGUGUUGUAUUAUCAUCAGACUGAACUGAACUCUUGCUGACCAAGCUGUGUUUUGGUUGAAUUGGCAUGUAUUAAACUUAACUGGCCGUGGAUUUUGUAUAAAAUGGCACAUGAACUGGAUCUGGAUCGAGAUUAUUUUCUUGGUAUUGCCUCGGUAUAAGUAAUCUAAACUUGACUAAUUAUUAAUGUUGUCAAAUUUUUGCUGUAAAGUUGCUGGAUUGUGUUGAUCUAUCUGGCCUUGUACAGCUUUCAUGAGAAUAGAAAGAAAAGGAAGCAUGUCUUGAAAGGAUGGAAUGACUCUUUCCUUCUGUAGCACCGUUUCUGUGCUGGUUUAUAUUUGCAUUUCUUUGUUUUCUUGGACACAACCUUUGCUUGUGUUGUAAUAACUCUCAUGUUUGCUGCUAUAUAGUAUUUAUGGUUGUAAUGUGGUGUCUUUAAAGUAGUGGAGUUCAUGAUUAGUCCGUUUUCCAAAACGUUGUUUGCUGCUCUGUUGUUUUGUAUAUUUUUUCUCUUUAUAAAAAGUUAUUUCUUUUAGGACUAAACCUGUGGUUUAACAUCAGCGUGACAAAUAUAUUGAAUAAAUUAGAAUAUGACUGAUAUGA